AGAGUUUGAUCAUGGCUCAGGAUGAACGCUGGCGGCGUGCCUAACACAUGCAAGUCGAACGGGAUUACUUCUUUUCGGAGAGGUAUGAGAGUGGCGCACGGGUGAGUAACACGUAGCUGACCUGCCCCGAAGAGCGGGAUAACGCACCGAAAGGUGUGCUAAUACCGCAUAAGCUCACACGCGUUAGAGGGCGAGUGAGAAAAGCUCAGGCGCUUUGAGGUGAAGCUGCGGCCCAUCAGCUAGUUGGUAGGGUAAAAGCCUACCAAGGCAACGACGGGUAGGGGGCCUGAGAGGGUGGCCCCCCACACUGGGACUGAGACACGGCCCAGACUCCUACGGGAGGCAGCAGUGAGGGAUAUUGCGCAAUGGGCGAAAGCCUGACGCAGCGACGCCGCGUGGGUGAAGAAGGCUUUCGGGUCGUAAAGCCCUUUUCCAGGUGACGAGGAAGGACGGUAGCCUGGGAAUAAGUGUCGGCUAACUACGUGCCAGCAGCCGCGGUAAAACGUAGGACGCAAGCGUUAUCCGGAGUUACUGGGCGUAAAGAGCGUGUAGGCGGCGUUACAAGUCCUGCGUGAAAGCUCUCGGCUAAACUGAGAGAGGUCGGAUGAAACUGUUAAUCUCGAGUUUGUCAGAGGUAUGUGGAAUUCCACGUGUAGUGGUGAAAUGCGUAGAUAUGUGGAGGAACACCAGUGGCGAAGGCGGCAUACUGGGGCACAACUGACGCUGAGACGCGAAAGCAUGGGUAGCGAACGGGAUUAGAAACCCCGGUAGUCCAUGCCGUAAACGAUGUACACUAGACGUUCGUGCAACUACGGUUGUAUGAGUGUCGCAGCUAACGCGAUAAAUGUACCGCCUGGGGAGUACGGUCGCAAGGCUAAAACUCAAAGGAAUUGACGGGGGCCCGCACAAGCAGCGGAGCGUGUGGUUUAAUUCGAGGCUACGCGAAGAACCUUACCUAGGCUUGACAUCAUAGCUCAGCUCUGUGAAAGCAGGGCGUGCCUUCGGGCAGCUAUCACAGGUGCUGCAUGGUUGUCGUCAGCUCGUGCCGUGAGGUGUUCGGUUAAGUCCGCAAACGAGCGCAACCCUCGGCGUUAGUUACAAGUGUCUAGCGCGACUGCCCGUGACAAACGGGAGGAAGGUGGGGAUGACGUCAAAUCAGCAUGGCCUUUAUAUCCAGGGCUACACACACGCUACAAUGGUCGGUACAAUGGGUCGCGAAGCCGCGAGGUGGAGCCAAUCCUCUAAAGCCGAUCUCAGUUCGGAUUGCAGGCUGCAACUCGCCUGCAUGAAGUCGGAGUUGCUAGUAACCGCGUAUCAGCACGGCGCGGUGAAUACGUUCCCGGGCCUUGUACACACCGCCCGUCACGUCAUGGAAGCGGGUCACGCCUAAAGUCGGGAAGCUAACCUAACGGAGGCUACUGCCUAGGGCAGGAUUGGUGACUGGGACGAAGUCGUAACAAGGUAACCGUA
rnacentral:rRNA from 1 species